CUUGAUUAUCGUACAGUUUUAAACAUGUUCUUUACUGUUGUAUACAAUGAUAUCAAGUACUCUUACAUGAACUCAAUUUCAAUGACAAACCAUUAAAAGCAGCUUCUAACUUUUUUAAAUUACGUUAUUUGAACUUUUGUUUUAGGUAAUAAAAAUUUUUGCUAGGAGACAAGCCAUGCCAAGCAGACUGUAGUGUAUUUGGUAUGAUUGGUAAUGCAUACUGGCAAUCGUUCGGGAGUCCAGCAGAAUCAGCAAUCAAAAGUAAGUAUCAUAUCAAAAUGUCAUGAUUAUUAUCAUUUGUGUGUCUUCCGAACGAGGACAUUCAUUCCAAGAAAACACAGAAAAUAAAAGAUGCAAUUUAUAAAAUGAUUGACAGUUUCCUUUUAUUAUUUGAAUCAUUAUCAUUUAUACGAACGUUUUACUAAUGGCGUGUCCCUUUUUAAUCUAUAUGCAUUCUAUAUGAGUACGACGACUUAAAAACUUACAGAACACAAACAUUUUAUCAAAUAUCUACUUUUGUUCUCACUUUUGAACUAUCUAUUAAUUGUGAAUUCAAAGUUUUUCUUUAAAAUGGAUUCUGUACGGAUAGAUAAAGAAUGCAUCUUAUAGCAUAGACUAAUACUAAUAUCAUACAUGGUUAGCUGUCUUUAUUUCAAACAGCCCGUUAUAAAAAAAGUUCUAUAAAAUAUAUAAUCCAAUAGACUUUCUGUAGAUUUUUUUUUAUUAUGGAAAUGUAUUAAUUUGAACACACACUAAAAACAGUGUAAAGUUAUAAGGUUUCUUUCUUUUUUUUUGUUACAUACAUUAAUGGCAAAUAGAAAGAACUUAAAAAACUAUGUACAAUAUUUGCUCAUAAUUAUUUUUUUAAUACUUUUUAGAUGUGCAUUAAUUGAUGACGUAUAAAAGUAUGUCAAGUGCAAUGAAAAUUAAUCGAACGAAAGCAAAAAAAUAUGUACAAAAUGUUUUGAAAUAUGAAUUUAUCAAAAUUGAUUAAUGAAAUAUAAAAGUAUGUCUCAAAUAAAAUACAUCAAAAUCAAUGCAAGUGCCAUGAAAAUUAAUUUUUAUUUUCAGAAUAUAGAAACUUGUGUGACUAUUGUCAAAGGAUGAAGGAGACAUUCUGGCCUGACUGGGACGAAUGUAUUUCUCAUGGAUUUACAAAAGAGCCAACUAAAUAAUUAUUUUUGUGAAUAGCUUCUCUGUAUGUACAUGUAUUAGCUUCUCUGUAUAUACAUGUAUUAGCUUCUCUGUAUAUACAUGUAUGAGAUCAUAACAAUUCGGUAUGUAAAUAUGAAAUAAUUUUUUUGCUUUUCUAUUACUAUGAUUGUCAAUUGGUGAAAACGAACUUGGAAGUGAAUGGAUUUGAUUGGUUGUAAAUUAGAAGGUAUAAUGAUCCAUUAUCUAGUCCUCAAAAUUUAAAACAUAAAAUUAUUUCAUCCUUUGACGAUGAGAUCAUUUGUAUUGAAAUGAAUGUAGUGAUAUAGUUUUGACGCUUCGAGUAAGAAAAAUAAUGUUUGUUGUAAUUUUGCUAUGACAGUAUAAUUUUUAAAAAUUUCGUUUUCCGUGUUUACUUAGAUUUUGACAAAAUUCAAAAAAUGCUUCAUCCUUACCUUCAUACAUUGUAUGUUCGUUGAUAUCGACGGAUUAAAUUUCACUCAGGUAUUUUUAAUUAUUCAAAAUACUGAAAAGUCAUCGAUCCCAAUCUCAACCAUUCUCAUUCAGCUGUUUUGUACUCGAUCAUAAACUAAAUCAUACUCAAAGACAUGAACUAGUACCCAUUCUUUAAUCAUUCCCAACAUAUACAAUAUUUCACUAUUUUUUUUACUCAAAAGAAUUCAAUAAUAAAACAAAAUAACAGAUGUGUUUCAUUGCCAAUGACACAACUCACCAACAGGAACCAAAUGACGAUAUUCAUUAAUCGAUCUCAAUAUUUUAGCACUAAAAUGCGAGAAAUGUCUAAAAUAUUGAAUAAAUUUAGGAGUCGCCAAUCCAACUUCAUGUAUACAUGUAACUGUCUGCUAACACUGAGUCGCCAUAUUGUGCAUAGUUUACUCUGUUACCUUCUCUUAGAACUAUUCGGAACAAAGUUGAUGUGGACAGAAAUAUCGAAACACUUUCUUUAGACAUCCAUUGGAAAUCUUACCGGCUCACUCCGUUUAGAAAAAAAACCCAACCUCGACGACAACAUGGUACUAAAAGGAGGGGUGACGAAAAUGACUCCUGAAUUAAGGAUGUGUUUAUCUUUAUAAGCCACAAGGAUAAAAAACAACAGUCAACCUUAGCCAAAAUAACUAAAAUAAAUUAAAAUGCUUUUUGAAUGCACUCUUAAAAAAAACAGUGCCCCACAAUGUUCUUCGAUGUUAUGAAAUUAAAUUUCUUUAACAAUCAAACAUGCGGACUCAAACACUGUAAUAUACAAGAAACCCUCUUUCUUAUACUUAUCUGAACGUGCCUUAGAAGAGCAAUCCUUACUGUUCAUGCACUACCAUCAAUUCAGACAUUUUAUAUGAUUUCAUAACUAGUUCAACUCAACUUUGCUGGCUUGUUUCAAUUUGAGAGACGGGAUGAGUACAAUUUAGUUGAAGGUAGAAGUCAGAAUACACAGUUUGAUUUUUGUAUUUAUCAACAACAACACUAAAGAAUCAUUUGUCCCCCGCCAUCCCCUCAAACAAAAAGGGCACUGUCAAAAAAUACAUCAGCAUGACCAAUCACCUGCUCAUGAUUUGCACUUUUUGCAAAAGAAUGCAAUAGAUUAAUGUAAUUGCAUGUUACCGAUGACAAUGUCCAAGUAUUUCGGAAUAACCAUCUUCAUUCUAAUGUGUUGAAAGCCAGAUCAUACAUCAUCGACAAACAAAGCAUCUUGAGCAUAAAUAGAAUAGUUUAAACUGAUUGCAAUUAAUUCGGACAUGUGUUUCUUGAAUACCAUUUGUACGCUUGAACAGAUUAUUCAACAAGAAAACACACAAAACGUGUAAAAGCACCAUAGAGCAGAUGAAUAUUUACGACCAAUUUGAUACAAAGAAGAAAUGACUUAUGAUUAUCCAUAGUUUAAUUUGAAGUAUUCGAAGGUCGUAAUUAUGACAUACCAAGUUGUAAAAAUUCGUAAUAGCAGGAAAAGCAAAACACCUUUUGUAUAUUACCAAUACUUUCAUAUAAAUUAUAUUGCAUUUUGAAUAUAUGAAGUAAAUCUG
rnacentral:lncRNA from 1 species